rnacentral:miRNA from 1 species
CUUCCGCCCCGCCGGGCGCCG